GUUGCCGCUGGCUGGAGUAGGCAGAGGCAUGGAUGGAAUUGUGCCCCUAUUUCAAUGCAUCUAUUGCACAUCAGCUGUAAGGGGUUGUAGCACAUUCCCAAGGGCUAAUUCUCUGGAUUUGUCUAUAGGAUCCAGUGGACAUAAAGAGCAGCGCAGAGCCUGAGCCAGAGCCGGAGCCGGAGGCAGCAGCUCUCGAACCCAGUCCUGUGGAAGCCGCAGAAGAAAACAACCCGUCAGAGGAGGUCAAAGCAACAGAAAAGACAGUUAUGAACUUUUUCAAAACAUUUGUCACUCCGACCAAAACAAGCAAAGAAGCCAAAGCCACUCCAGAUGCUUCAAAAGAGCAGGUACAGGAAGCACCCAAGGCACCUCCUCCUCCUCCCCCAGCACCACCUAAGAUGGAAAGCAAAGCAGAGCCGGUGGUGAAGAAAGAGGAAACGUCUUCAACAAAAGCAGUAGCAGCAGCUGCAACAAAAGCAGAGGGAUCUGCCAAGAGCAAAACCAAAGACAGUGCAUUAAGCAAACUCUUCCGUUCAAAGGUGUUGCUAGGCAAGGUGGUGUCAAAAGUUCAGGCGGCAACAAGCAGUGGAGCCAGAGCUAAGACGUCAGGAGUGCCUGUUGUGGUGGAAGAGAAAAAGCCGGUUGAGGUGCAGGUCGAUGCGUCUAAGACCAGCACUCUUGAGGCCGCUGCCAAACCUGAAGAACCUCCGGCGCCAAAACCAGAGGAGAAGAAACUAGAAAAGAAAUCCACUUUUGGAAACAUGUUCAAACCCAAGGCACCAGAGCCCAAGAAGGACACUCCAGCUGCUCCUCCCGUGGCAGAAGCCGCUCCACCCGCAAAGGCCAAAGAGGAGCCGAGACCCACCACUCCUGCACAGCAAGCGGUCCCGGACAACAAAUCAGCCGACAGCACAGGGAACGCCUCCCCCAACAUGCCCCACAAGCUGGAGAAGAGGAACUCCCUCCAGCUGUUCUUCAAAAACCUGGGCCAAAAACGCCAUUCUGAUGCCGGAGUGCAAACGGACCCUGUGGCACCCGAGAAGGCCAAAUAAAACCCCGCCUUUGUUUUGAUCGCUCAUCUGUGCCAAAACCAUUGGCAGCCAUGCACAUAAGAACAUAUUUACCAAAGUUGGGAGGUAUUAUGCUGACUUGCAAGGCCCAAGUUUGAAGUAACUAUCAAAUAAUAAUCUGAAUUCCCAUGCAUUUAAUGAGAGCAGAAGUAAGUGUAACGAUUUCCCUGUUAAGCAAGUGCUACAUGUGUUUAUGACCGGAGGGAGGAACUCGUGUUGUUUUUCAGAGAGAAACGUGUCAGAGUUGCGUGGUGUGGCAUGAGAUGGAAAAGUGAAAGUGAAAAUGUAAUCCUGCAUUGAAGAUAAACUCCCUUUUUUAUGUGCAUGUUAAAAUGUAAAAUAUGUUAACUAUACUAACACUACUUAUAUUGCAUCACACAUUAAAGCCGAUGCAUUAAGAUGCCUUUUCACCGGGACAAAGAUAACAUCAUGCGCGUUUGCAUGUGAAAAGAAUUUAUUUAUGUAAUCAUACACUGUCAUCUGAUUAUGAAUACAAUGACCCAUCGUCUGCUGAAUUCAAUCACUGAAACCUACAAAGCCAAUUUGAAUUCCACUUAAAGUGCAAAACUUCUGAAUCACUUUAAUAAAUCCAUAGAAAUCACAAUUAUUUAUUUAACAUAAUGUCAAUCAAAUUGAGCACCAUAUAUUAUUACUCCAAAUUAUUCGGUUAUUUAAGUUCAGCCCAGUUUCUAUUUAAAAAAUAAUAAUUGUUUUCAUUUCUACAAUUGUUUAUUAAUCAUAACUUACUAACUAAACCACAUUACAAUUAUUGUCUUUUUAUUUGCUUGGCCGUCCAUUUCUGACCGGAGGAGACUAAAAAGAAAUUAAGCUAGUUAAAUGUUUUAUUUUCUUUCUUAUUUUCCGAACAUAUCAGUUGUUAUUAGAACAGUAUGAAAUAAAUAUGUGGUAUACAGUUAUGCAAUAUACAAUGUACAUUCAAUUUAGCUGCAGUCACAUGUGUUUUAUGAUUUUCUUCCUAAUUAUCGCUACAUUUGUAAAGAGUAGAUGGGCCUAAUUAAGAAUUCAGACUGUAUCCAUGAAUCUUAGACUUUCUGUAACUCCUUUGUUGCAUUUUUGUCUAUUUAACCAAUUUAUAAAAAUAAAAGAAUCAUUUCUCUCCUCUGUAAAAAUGACUCGUUCUGUAUUUACAGCAUGAAAACAUAGAUUUUAAAAUAUAUAGUUUUACAUUUUCCUGGGGGAAAAAAAGUGUUUGCUGGUGUAGGUUUCCACAUGGCUAUAUAUAUAUAUAUAUAUAUAUAUAUAUAUUGUAAUUAUGAUUUAGUUUACAGCUAAUUUCUUAAUAGUUUGCUUUGUUAAGUCUGAUAUUUCCAAAGAGGGCAUGUGUCCGGACCGCCUACAGGGCAGCACAAAUUUGGAAAACUAUUAACAUGGGACAAAAGAUGCAUGGUAUUCUAGGCACUUUUUGUGAGUGCAGUGUGCUCUUCAUGCUGGUGUUUUCCCG
ensembl:lncRNA